AAAUUAAUUAAUUAAAGUCUAUUAGAAGAAAUUAUGUUUGUUUUGUGCGCAUGCGCGUUAUGUCCCUUUGCCUCGGCGCCAAAGCCCACAGGAGUUUUUGCUCUUCAGAAUCCAGUCAGAUUGAAGGAAGACGCCAGACCCGGAUCUUUGUACAUCCAUUUGCACAGUACUGUACAACAAGUUUCCUUUGCUGAGUUCCUUGGUCAGGGGUUUAAAUACAUUUGCUGUCCAGUACUGCAGUUGGAAUUUUCCAUCAAUUGUUUAUGGGCAACCAAAAAGAAGAAUUUUUGCAGGACCUGACAAACAUUGCCAUGGCCAUAUGUGUCAUCAAAAAGGAAGGAGGAGAUUUUGGAGAUUAUGACGACAUUGGCAUCGUUGUUGAUGGAACAGUGAUUCUUGAACAGAUAAAAUAUGUUGCACAAGCCUGUGCACUGAUGUUGGGGGCAAUUUAUGUGCUUGAUUUGGCUUACCCAAAAGAGCUCAAAUACUAUUACGAGUUUGCCCAAAAAGUACUCAUGCAAAUGAACUCUGACAAGCUCUCCUCAAAGGUUCUCAUACUGAAAAACAGUGUGAUACUGUAAU